CUUCCAGGACCUGCCAGACGCAG
rnacentral:misc_RNA from 1 species